rnacentral:lncRNA from 1 species
ACACUCAUCAUCUGUGGAGAUGUUUCUAUACUUUGAAGAUCAUGGACUAGUGACGUGCUCCGCUGAUCAUCUCAUUAUUUUGUGGAAAAAUGGAGAGCGAGAAUCUGGAUUGCGCAGUUUAAGAUUAUUUCAAAAAUUAGAGGAGAAUGGUGACUUAUACCUUGCUGUCUAGUUUAAGGAAUUAAAAAUACACAUGCAUGAACCUUGAACAUCAAAUAUCGGGUACUACUCUGAAAACCAUUAAUAUAUUGAUCACUUAAAUUGGUAAUUUUUUUUGUCAGUCCAUAAAAUUCUACAUGUUUAAAUUUUUUGUGGACCUACCAACCAGGAACAUGUUGCUUCUCAGGUCCUAGUAUAUCCUCCAAAGAAUAUACCACAAGUUUUUCCAUUUGACUUUGAGCUGCUGUUGAAGUGAUAAAUCUGUUCAGAUAAGCUCCUUAUGAAUCCUUCAGAUCGAUGUUCUUGAGGAAAACAGUCAAGCUAAACAGCAAUGAUGACUUUUAUGGUAAAGGAUGAGCUGAUCACUAGCUAAGCUACUUAGUCACCAUCCUGGGAGAUGAGCUCACAGGCACCAAGGCUUUGCUUCCUGUGGCCUGCUAGUUACAGUGAACCAGCUCCAUGGAUUGACAAGGGUACACAGGAUGACAGCAGAGCAAAGGAGUUUGCCAAGUAUUUGUUCUGUCAUUAAGUAUUCAAAAGAACAUAUAUUUUUCUUCAUGGAACAUAACUUUCUAAGAAUGAAAUUUGGGGACUUGAAUGAUUCAAGGUCAAAUAUUAAACAUUAGCUCCUUCACCAA